GAUGAACGCUGGCGGCGUGCUUAAUACAUGCAAGUCGAGCGAACGGACGAGAAUCUUGCGGCUCUGAUGUUAGCGGCGGACGGGUGAGACACACGUGGAUAACCUACCUAUUAGACUUGGAUAACUUCGGGAAACCGGAGCUAAGACCAGAUAAUACUUUUGACCGCAUGGUUCUAAAGUGAAAGACGGUCUUGCUGUCACUUAUAGAUGGAUCCGCGCUGCAUUAGCUAGUUGGUAAGGUAACGGCUUACCAAGGCAACGAUGCAUAGCCGACCUGAGCGGGUGAUCGGCGACUCUGAGGCUGAGACACGAUCCAGACUCCUACGGGAGGCAGCAGUAGCGACUCUUCCGAAAUGGGCGAAAGCCUGCCGGAGCAACGCCGCGUGAGUGAUGAAGGUCUUCGGAUCGUAAAACGCUGUUAUGAGGGAAGACCAUAUGUGUAAGUAACUGUGCACAGCUUGACGGUACCUAAUCAGAAAGCAACGGCUAACUACGUG
rnacentral:rRNA from 1 species